CUCUUAUCUUGUCUUCUCUGCUUCCUCCCUGGCUUGGCUCCUUCUUAGCCGGCCAUUAACCCAUUUGACAGAGCAAGGAUCUCUCCAUUCUUUGCUAUUUUAUUGCCGAUUCAGUUCAAUUCUAAUGGAAUUUUACGUGAUAAUUUCCUCCGCUGUUGCUGCAAAUCUGUGGUAAUUUCCUUUUUUUUUUUAUUCACGAG
rnacentral:misc_RNA from 1 species